GAUGAACGCUGGCGGCGUGCCUAACACAUGCAAGUCGAGCGAUUCUCUUCGGAGAAGAGCGGCGGACGGGUGAGUAACGCGUGGGUAACCUGCCCUGUACACACGGAUAACAUACCGAAAGGUAUGCUAAUACGAGAUAAUAUGCUUUUGUCGCAUGGUAGAAGUAUCAAAGCUUUUGCGGUACAGGAUGGACCCGCGUCUGAUUAGCUAGGUGGUAAGGUAACGGCUUACCAAGGCGACGAUCAGUAGCCGACCUGAGGGGGUGAUCGGCCACAUUGGAACUGAGACACGGUCCAAACUCCUACGGGAGGCAGCAGUGGGGAAUAUUGCACAAUGGGCGAAAGCCUGAUGCAGCAACGCCGCGUGAGCGAUGAAGGCCUUCGGGUCGUAAAGCUCUGUCCUCAAGGAAGAUAAUGACGGUACUUGAGGAGGAAGCCCCGGCUAACUACGUGCCAGCCGCCGCGGUAACAC
rnacentral:rRNA from 1 species